rnacentral:lncRNA from 1 species
AGAAGACGUCGAUAGUUUUGUAUAAACAACCUUAAGGGGGAAUGUUAGUUUAUAAGCUUGUUUUAUUUAUUUAUUUUUAUUUGAAGAGUUGUGUUUCUUAUGAAAGGGUGUGUCCUUUUGUAAGGGUUGUGUCUUUUGGUUUAGGGUCAUGUCCUUUAGUGAAAGUUUGUGUUUUUUCGUGAAGAGUUGCGUCGUUUCAUGCUCUAUAAAUAGAGAGCAUGUAAUUUGUUGUGUAGAGUUGUGAAGUGUGGAUCAAAUUGUAUUAUUCAUUAGAAGUGUACUGAAGUUUAGUUAUAUUAAUAAAGUUUGUUAUUCUAGUGUUAAAUACUUUUUGUAGUUCAUUUAU